AGAUUCACUUUGCCAGAUGGCAUAAUGUUUGCUACAUAGUUUUUUUGGCACGUCAGAGAAGUUGAUUGUUAUUCGAAUAUCUUCAUUCCUUGUCGCAUCUUAUUUGUUGUGUCCGUGACGGUAGCAUCGGCUGAAAGAUUCUCAAAGCUGAAAUUGUUGAAGAAUUAUUUGAGGUCAACAAUGACUUAUGAGAGGUUAAAUGGUUUGGGUACAAUAUGCAUUGACAAGAAAUUAUUGGAUGAGAUUUUCAUCGACCCCAUCAUAAGUGACUUUGCAUCGAGGAAUUUUACAAGAAAUUUUCAAGGUAACAUGUAUAAAUUAUUUGAUACGCAUACUGAUUUUCAAUGCAUUGGAGCGUUAUUAAUAAUUUUUCACAUGUACAUAAAUUCAUUUUUAUUACUACGAUGUGUUUAUUAA
rnacentral:rRNA from 1 species